rnacentral:rRNA from 1 species
ACACAUGCAGUCGAGCGGUAGCACAGAGAGCUUGCUCUCGGGUGACGAGCGGCGGACGGGUGAGUAAUGUCUGGGAAACUGCCUGAUGGAGGGGGAUAACUACUGGAAACGGUAGCUAAUACCGCAUAACGUCGCAAGACCAAAGUGGGGGACCUUCGGGCCUCAUGCCAUCAGAUGUGCCCAGAUGGGAUUAGCUAGUAGGUGGGGUAACGGCUCACCUAGGCGACGAUCCCUAGCUGGUCUGAGAGGAUGACCAGCCACACUGGAACUGAGACACGGUCCAGACUCCUACGGGAGGCAGCAGUGGGGAAUAUUGCACAAUGGGCGCAAGCCUGAUGCAGCCAUGCCGCGUGUGUGAAGAAGGCCUUCGGGUUGUAAAGCACUUUCAGCGGGGAGGAAGGCGAUAAGGUUAAUAACCUUGUCGAUUGACGUUACCCGCAGAAGAAGCACCGGCUAACUCCGUGCCAGCAGCCGCGGUAAUACGGAGGGUGCAAGCGUUAAUCGGAAUUACUGGGCGUAAAGCGCACGCAGGCGGUCUGUCAAGUCGGAUGUGAAAUCCCCGGGCUCAACCUGGGAACUGCAUUCGAAACUGGCAGGCUAGAGUCUUGUAGAGGGGGGUAGAAUUCCAGGUGUAGCGGUGAAAUGCGUAGAGAUCUGGAGGAAUACCGGUGGCGAAGGCGGCCCCCUGGACAAAGACUGACGCUCAGGUGCGAAAGCGUGGGGAGCAAACAGGAUUAGAUACCCUGGUAGUCCACGCCGUAAACGAUGUCGAUUUGGAGGUUGUGCCCUUGAGGCGUGGCUUCCGGAGCUAACGCGUUAAAUCGACCGCCUGGGGAGUACGGCCGCAAGGUUAAAACUCAAAUGAAUUGACGGGGGCCCGCACAAGCGGUGGAGCAUGUGGUUUAAUUCGAUGCAACGCGAAGAACCUUACCUGGUCUUGACAUCCACAGAACUUAGCAGAGAUGCUUUGGUGCCUUCGGGAACUGUGAGACAGGUGCUGCAUGGCUGUCGUCAGCUCGUGUUGUGAAAUGUUGGGUUAAGUCCCGCAACGAGCGCAACCCUUAUCCUUUGUUGCCAGCGGUUCGGCCGGGAACUCAAAGGAGACUGCCAGUGAUAAACUGGAGGAAGGUGGGGAUGACGUCAAGUCAUCAUGGCCCUUACGACCAGGGCUACACACGUGCUACAAUGGCAUAUACAAAGAGAAGCGACCUCGCGAGAGCAAGCGGACCUCAUAAAGUAUGUCGUAGUCCGGAUUGGAGUCUGCAACUCGACUCCAUGAAGUCGGAAUCGCUAGUAAUCGUAGAUCAGAAUGCUACGGUGAAUACGUUCCCGGGCCUUGUACACACCGCCCGUCACACCAUGGGAGUGGGUUGCAAAAGAAGUAGGUAGCUUAACCUUCGGGAGGGCGCUUACCAC